CGAGCUCGCCAGACAGUCGCCGCCGGUGGUUUACCGGGGGAGGAAAGUCCGGGCUCCGCAGGGCAAGGUGCCAGGUAACGCCUGGGCGGCGUGAGCCGACGGAAAGUGCAACAGAAAGUAUACCGCCUAAGCGCCCACGGGCGCCGGUAAGGGUGAAAUGGUGCGGUAAGAGCGCACCGCAUGGCUGGUAACAGUCCAUGGCGAUGGUAAACCCCACCUGGAGCAAGACCAAAUAGGAGUCCAAUGGCGUGGCCCGCGCUGGACUCGGGUAGGUUGCUUGAGGCCUGUGGUGACGCAGGUCCUAGAUGAAUGACUGUCCUCGACAGAACCCGGCUUAUCGGCGGGCUCAAUUU
rnacentral:RNase_P_RNA from 1 species